rnacentral:rRNA from 1 species
GAUGAACGCUGGCGGCGUGCCUAACACAUGCAAGUCGAGCGGCAGCGAGGGGUGCUUGCACCCUGUCGGCGAGCGGCGGACGGCUGAGUAACGCGUGGGAACGUGCCCCAAAGUGAGGAAUAACUGCCCGAAAGGGUAGCUAAUACCGCAUAUUAUCUUCGGAUCAAAGGAUUUAUCCGCUUUGGGAGCGGCUCGCGUCGGAUUAGGUAGUUGGUGAGGUAAUGGCUCACCAAGCCGACGAUCCGUAGCUGGUCUGAGAAGAUGACCAGCCAGACUGGAACUGAGACACGGUCCAGACUCCUACGGGAGGCAGCAGUGAGGAAUCUUCCACAAUGGGCGAAAGCCUGAUGGAGCAACGCCGCGUGCAGGACGAAGGCCUUCGGGUUGUAAACUGCUUUUAUAAGUGAGGAAUAUGACGGUAACUUAUGAAUAAGGAUCGGCUAACUACGUG